GGGGAAUAUUGCGCAAUGGGCGAAAGCCUGACGCAGCGACGCCGCGUGAGGGAUGAAGGUUCUCGGAUCGUAAACCUCUGUCAGAAGGGAAGAAACCGCACCGUGCUAAUCAGCGGUGCAUUGAUGGUACCUUCAAAGGCAGCACCGGCUAACUCCGUGCCAGCAGCCGCGGUAAUACGGAGGGUGCAAGCGUUAAUCGGAAUUACUGGGCGUAAAGCGCACGUAGGCUGCUUUGUAAGUCAGGGGUGAAAUCCCACGGCUCAACCGUGGAACUGCCUUUGAUACUGCUUAGCUUGAAUCCGGGAGAGGGUGGCGGAAUUCCAGGUGUAGGAGUGAAAUCCGUAGAUAUCUGGAGGAACAUCAGUGGAGAAGGAGGCAAAAUGGACAGGUAUUGAAGAUGAGGUGAGAAAGCGUGGGGAGCAAAAA
rnacentral:rRNA from 1 species